CCCUUAGAUGUCCUGGGCCGCACGCGCGCUACACUGACACGUUCAACAAGUUUCUCCUAGUUCGACAGGACUGGGAAAUCUUUGAACGCAUGUCGUGAUAGGGAUAGAUCAUUGCAAUUAUUGAUCUUGAACGAGGAAUUCCUAGUAAACGCGAGUCAUCAGCUCGCAUUGAUUACGUCCCUGCCCUUUGUACACACCGCCCGUCGCACCUACCGAUUGAAUGUUUCGGUGAAGAUUCCGGAUAGGACUGAUUUGAUUUAUUUCAUUUCUGACCUAAAAGCUAUCUAAACCUCAACAUUUAGAGGAAGGUGAAGUCGUAACA
rnacentral:rRNA from 1 species